UACGUAGGGUGCAGGCGUUAAUCGGAAUUACUGGGCGUAAAGCGUGCGCAGGCGGUUUGCUAAGACAGGUGUGAAAUCCCCGGGCUUAACCUGGGAACUGCGCUUGUGACUGGCGUGCUGGAGUGUGGCAGAGGGAGGUGGAAUUCCACGUGUAGCAGUGAAAUGCGUAGAGAUGUGGAGGAACACCGAUGGCGAAGGCAGCCUCCUGGGCCAGCACUGACGCUCAUGCACGAAAGCGUGGGGAGCAAACAGG
rnacentral:rRNA from 1 species